rnacentral:rRNA from 1 species
UACGGAGGGGGGCUAGCGUUGUUCGGAAUUACUGGGCGUAAAGCGCACGUAGGCGGCUUUGUAAGUUAGAGGUGAAAGCCCCGGGGCUCAACCCCGGAAUUGCCUUUAAGACUGCAUCGCUAGAAUUGUGGAGAGGUGAGUGGAAUUCCGAGUGUAGAGGUGAAAUGCGCAGAUAUCGGGAGGAACACCCGUAGCGAAGGCGGCACUCUGGGACGGUACUGACGCUAAGGCGCGAAAGCGUGGGGAGCGAACAGG